rnacentral:sRNA from 1 species
GAAUGUGAGGGCAAUCUGGCUGUGAUGUCUGUCACCCCAUUGAUCACCAGGGUUGACUGGGCUGAUCUGGCUGAUGUGUGUGGGGCGGUGUUCCCUUCCUCCCUUGCCAUGCUUACAUGUAUCCCUCUGGAAGCUGCAUGCCAGGUCCAAGGGCACGACCUUCCCUGAUAAAGGAAGACUUGAUCUUCAGUCAAGGGUAGCUGCACUUUCCUGCUAGAACCUCCAAACCUAUUUCUGAGCCUGCUAUGCCCCCUCCUACCUCCGGGAUUUCUGCUAGAAUUUUCC